CUUGGGAUGGUACCUCUGUGGCAUCAGCAUUGAGUAAGCAUGCCCUCAAGCCUUGAUCAUCACUGCGACAACCACAGCUGCAUUUCUGAGUGCCAUCUGGGGGACACCAUGCCAGUAAAAUAGGGAGCAGAACAGAACCUUCCUCCCCUGGCUGGGGGGCGGUCCGUGUGAAGUUCUUGGUGUCCAGUGGUGAGCAUGAGCCGUCCCUGCGAUGCCAAGCCUCUCCUUGCUGACGGCGGGGAUUGACGAUCCAGCUUAUGUGCCCUGCUCCCCUCUGCCUGCCCCUUCUCCCUGUCCCCAGGUCUCCCCUGUGGUGGGGGAUGCAGGUCCCGUUUUCCUAUGGGGCACUGGCUUUGGAGACCACCCCUGCCCCGACCCCUGUUCUCUGAUUCUAUCUAAGUGCUUAAUCUCUCCCCCCGACCCCUAUCCUCUGAUUCUAUCUAAGUGCCUAAUCUUUCCCAGCGGCAGCCCUGGGAGACAUCUCCUCUCUCGCUAUGGGGCUGCUGGGAUCUGUCUUCCCAACCUGACACUUCACAAGUCUGUCCCCUCUACUUUAUCCUCCCCCUAAG
rnacentral:lncRNA from 1 species